rnacentral:ncRNA from 1 species
AAACUGGUUGAUCCUACCAGUACCCAUACGCUUCGCUUGACAAUUGCGCCGUGCAUUUCUAAGCAAAACCUUUUUUACGGUGAAGCUGCCAAUGGCCCAUUCAUAAGAGCUACAGUGUAUUCAAUGGUUCCUUUUUACAGAGAUAACCAUGAUAAUUGUUUGGUUAAUACAUGCGAAAGGCUCUGAUAGUUGUAUGGCUAAGACGUCCUCAAGGCUAUCCUUUGGAGGGGCUCUGCUUAUUAAAAACAAAACUAGCCAGCUUCUGUAGGGUCUUGGUCAUUAUAUCGGUCAGGCGGAUCACAGUUGGUUCACUAGUGACCCGUGAUGGAUCGCCCAGGUUACUGGUUUCUGGCCUAUCAGCUAUCGACGGUAACGUAUUGACCUUGCGGGUAACGGCGAAGCAGCGGUAAACUGCGGUGAGGAUGCGUGGGAAACGGCUGCCACAUCUAAGGAAGACAGCAGAAGAGCAAAUUACCUCAUGGAGACACCUUCGAGGUAUUGGCGAGAGAUAACAAUACGGGGCACUUUAUGCUUUGUAACUGGAAUAGUGGAAAGGAGGGACACUUCCUGAGUAGCAGUUCGACUGGAAGUCGGGUGGCAAAAGCUGCAGUAAUUGCGGCUCCUGUAGAGUGUAUUAGAUUCGUUGUAGUGAAACAAUGUCGCAGUUUGACUUUUACCCUACUCAUCCGCCACCACUCGUACGAAUGGGCACCUGAUUUGCCUUCGGCUUAAUUCCAGAAGCCGUCGGCGCUUAACUCCAUGUGAUACUGUCCCCAAACUCUUAUGUUGCGAAAAAUGGAAAGGUUCAAGCGGCACUGUCUCCCUGAAUACUGCGGCAAAGAAUAAGUAGUUAUGUCUUCGGUUCCACUUCGUCGGUUUGUACGGCCAAGGCACUGACCGAUGGUUGGAUGCAGCCGUUUUUAACUGUCACAUUUGAAAUUCUUAAAUAGCCAAGCAAGAGCAACUACGAAAGCAUCUGCCAAGGACAAUUUUAUCAAUGGCGAACGGCAAUAGGGGGAAUGAAGAAUAUUAUUUACUGUUCAAUAGUGAGUGGGUACUUGUCAUUCCUCAUGAUAGCUCUUCGUGGGCAAACACUC